CCUACGCGUGGCAGCAGUGAGGAAUAUUGGUCAAUGGCCGCAGGGCUGAACCAGCCAAGUCGCGUGAGGGAUGACGGUCCUAUGGAUUGUAAACCUCUUUUGUCAGGGAGCAAAGGGCGCCACGUGUGGCGCUUUGCGAGUACCUGAAGAAAAAGCAUCGGCUAACUCCGUGCCAGCAGCCGCGGUAAUACGGAGGAUGCGAGCGUUAUCCGGAUUUAUUGGGUUUAAAGGGUGCGCAGGCGGAAUGUCAAGUCAGCGGUAAAAUUUCGGGGCUCAACCCCGUCGUGCCGUUGAAACUGGCGUUCUUGAGUGAGCGAGAAGUAGGCGGAAUGCGUGGUGUAGCGGUGAAAUGCAUAGAUAUCACGCAGAACUCCGAUUGCGAAGGCAGCAUACCGGCGCUCAACUGACGCUCAUGCACGAAAGCGUGGGUAUCGAACAGGAUUAGAUACCCCAGUAGUC
rnacentral:rRNA from 1 species